rnacentral:rRNA from 1 species
UACGUAGGGUGCGAGCGUUGUCCGGAAUUACUGGGCGUAAAGGGCGCGUAGGCGGCCACCGCAAGUCGACUGUGAAAUCUCCGGGCUUAACCCGGAAAGGUCAGCCGAUACUGCGGGGCUAGAGUGCAGAAGGGGCAACUGGAAUUCUCGGUGUAGCGGUGAAAUGCGUAGAUAUCGAGAGGAACACCUGCGGCGAAGGCGGCUCACUGGCCCGGUACUGACGCUGAGGCGCGAAAGCGUGGGGAGCAAACAGG